rnacentral:rRNA from 1 species
UGGCUCAGAAUCAACGCUGGCGGCGUGCCUAACACAUGCAAGUCGAACGCGAAAGUGGAGCAAUCCAUGAGUAGAGUGGCAAACGGGUGAGUAACACGUGGGCGACCUACCUCAGAGUGGGGGAUAACCUUCCGAAAGGAGGGCUAAUACCGCAUGACAUCCCGUGUUUGGAUACACGGAGAUCAAAGCCGGGGAUCGCAAGACCUGGCGCUUGGAGAGGGGCCCGCGUCCGAUUAGCUAGUUGGUGAGGUAAUGGCUCACCAAGGCUCCGAUCGGUAUCCGGCCUGAGAGGGCGGACGGACACACUGGAACUGAGACACGGUCCAGACUCCUACGGGAGGCAGCAGUGGGGAAUUGUUCGCAAUGGGCGAAAGCCUGACGACGCAACGCCGCGUGGAGGAUGAAGAAUUUCGGUUCGUAAACUCCUUUCGACCGAGAUGAACACCCCGCAACUUAAUACGUUGUGGGACUGACAGUAUCGAGAGAAGAAGCCCCGGCUAACUCUGUGCCAGCAGCCGCGGUAAUACAGGGGGGGCAAGCGUUGUUCGGAAUUACUGGGCGUAAAGGGUUCGUAGGUGGCCAACUAAGUCAGAUGUGAAAUCCCUCAGCUUAACUGGGGAACUGCUUCUGAUACUGGUUGGCUUGAGUGCAGGAGAGGAAUGCGGAAUUCCAGGUGUAGCGGUGAAAUGCGUAGAUAUCUGGAGGAACGCCGGUGGCGAAGGCGGCAUUCUGGACUGUAACUGACACUGAGGAACGAAAGCCAGGGGAGCAAACGGGAUUAGAUACCCCGGUAGUCCUGGCCCUAAACGAUGAAUGCUUGGUGUGGCGGGUAUCGA